GUGUCGCGCCGCGGUAAUACGUAGGGUGCGAGAGUUAAUCGGAAUUACUGGGCGUAAAGCGUGCGCAGGCGGUUAUGUAAGACAGAUGUGAAAUCCCCGGGCUCAACCUGGGAACUGCAUUUGUGACUGCAUGGCUAGAGUACGGUAGAGGGGGAUGGAAUUCCGCGUGUAGCAGUGAAAUGCGUAGAUAUGCGGAGGAACACCGAUGGCGAAGGCAAUCCCCUGGACCUGUACUGACGCUCAUGCACGAAAGCGUGGGGAGCAAACAGGAUUAGAUACCCUCGUAGUCC
rnacentral:rRNA from 1 species